UGUGGUAAAGGCUCUGAAACAUGGGUGUGCCUUUUUGCCCCCUAUCCACUGAAAAACGGUGAUCAUCCAUCAGUGCCACUAAACCAAUAACAAGCACUUCAUGAAUGCUGGCAACACCCCAGCAGCACUAUAAAGGAUGGCUGAGAGAUUUGAAUUCUGAAUGCCAGAUCCCUUGAUGUUGAACACACGACCACAACACAGAUGACAUUCUUGACUGGAACAGAUAAAAUUGCAAUGUGAAUGAAGAACUAUUCUCAUAUGACUGCAAGCACGCAAUGCUGGUGGGGAAGUUAAGUGUCCUUAGCCACCUGUUCUUUCUCUGUAGUAAACUCACCCUGUGUGUUCAAUGUGCAGGAGUGCAAAGCUACCACUGCACUAAUGUGGCUCACAUCUGUAACCGGGCUGGUAUAUUUGUGGGUGCUAGACCACAUGCCUGAGUAGCUAGAAGACCGUUAGCUGUGAAGACAUAGUCCUGUUUCACAUCAUGCAGUAUCACUGCAGUGUAGUUUAUGAGAGAAAGCAAAGUGCCGUAACCUAUAGAAAUGACAUGGACAGUCUGGUAAAUACAACUACUAUCCCCUGUGGCACUAAAAUGUUAGUUCAGAGGCUUACUUUCUCAUCCUGCUCAGUUUGCUCAUCCUUGUCUCUUGUAAGCAGAAAUCAUUGCAUUUAGCAAGUUGGCAUACCUGUUUUUUAACAGGUGCUUUCUACAUGUUGACUUCAGAGAUGUUUGCAUUGCUGAAAAUUUGCAAAAGCAAAUGAAAAGUCUAGUAAAAUAUUUUCUUAAAUAUUUAAGUAUGUAGUUUUCCUGUAAGAUUUUACGUUUCACUGAAUUGUUGCAUAACAAUAUUUAAAUGCAGUCAUUUCUUCUUAGGCAUAAUGAACAUAAUGUGAAGUUAAAUCAAAAG